AGAGUUUGAUCCUGGCUCAGGAUGAACGCUGACGGCGUGCUUAACACAUGCAAGUCGAACGGGAAGCUUCCCUUCGGGGAAGUGGAGAGUGGCGAACGGGUGCGUAACACGUAGCUCAUCUGCCCUGGAGACGGGAAUAACACACGGAAACAUGUGCUAAUACCCGAUAAGCCCCCACGCUGUAGAAGCGAGGGAGAAAAGGCUGAGGCGCUCUGGGAUGAGGCUGCGGUCCAUCAGCUCGUUGGUGAGGUAAAGGCUCACCAAGGCAACGACGGAUAGGGGACCUGAGAGGGUGACCCCCCACACUGGCACUGAGACACGGGCCAGACUCCUACGGGAGGCAGCAGUGAGGAAUAUUGCGCAAUGGAGGAAACUCUGACGCAGCGACGCCGCGUGGGUGAAGAAGGUCUUCGGGUCGCAAAGCCCUUUUCUAUGUGACGAGAGAUAGGACGGUAGCAUAGGAAUAAGUCUCGGCUAACUACGUGCCAGCAGCCGCGGUAAAACGUAGGAGGCGAGCGUUAUCCGGAGUUACUGGGCGUAAAGCGCGUGUAGGCGGCGAUGCAGGUCGGAUGUGAAAGCUCCCAGGCUAAACCGGGAGAGGUCAUUCGAAACCGCAUGGCUAGAGGAUGGCA
rnacentral:rRNA from 1 species